CGCGGCCUAUCAGCUUGUUGGUGGGGUAAUGGCCUACCAAGGCGACGACGGGUAGCCGACCUGAGAGGGUGACCGGCCACACUGGGACUGAGACACGGCCCAGACUCCUACGGGAGGCAGCAGUGGGGAAUAUCGCACAAUGGGCGAAAGCCUGAUGCGGCGACGCCGCGUGAGGGAUGACGGCCUUCGGGUUGUAAACCUCUUUCAGCAGGGACGAAGCGCAAGUGACGGUACCUGCAGAAGAAGCACCGGCUAACUACGUGCCAGCAGCCGCGGUAAUACGUAGGGUGCAAGCGUUGUCCGGAAUUACUGGGCGUAAAGAGUUCGUAGGCGGUUUGUCGCGUCGUUUGUGAAAACCAGCAGCUCAACUGCUGGCUUGCAGGCGAUACGGGCAGACUUGAGUACUGCAGGGGAGACUGGAAUUCCUGGUGUAGCGGUGAAAUGCGCAGAUAUCAGGAGGAACACCGGUGGCGAAGGCGGGUCUCUGGGCAGUAACUGACGCUGAGGAACGAAAGCGUGGGUAGCGAACAGGAUUAGAUACCCUGGUAGUCCACGCCGUAAACGGUGGGCGCUAGGUGUGGGUU
rnacentral:rRNA from 1 species